rnacentral:rRNA from 1 species
UACAGAGGGUGCAAGCGUUGUUCGGAUUCAUUGGGCGUAAAGGGUGCGUAGGUGGCGCCGUAAGUCGGGUGUGAAAUUUCGGAGCUUAACUCCGAAACUGCAUUCGAUACUGCGGUGCUUGAGGACUGGAGAGGAGACUGGAAUUCAUGGUGUAGCAGUGAAAUGCGUAGAGAUCAUGAGGAAGACCAGUGGCGAAGGCGGGUCUCUGGACAGUCCUGACACUGAGGCACGAAGGCCAGGGGAGCAAACGGG